rnacentral:rRNA from 1 species
AUUGAACGCUGGCGGCAUGCCUAACACAUGCAAGUCGAACGCGAAAGGGUUUCGGCCUGAGUAGAGUGGCGGACGGGUGAGUAAAGCGUGGGAAUCUGCCCUGCAGUGGGGGACAACCCGGGGAAACUCGGGCUAAUACCGCAUACGACCUACGGGUGAAAGGGGGUUUCGGCCUCUCGCUGCAGGAUGAGCCCACGUCCGAUUAGCUAGUUGGUAGGGUAAAGGCCUACCAAGGCGACGAUCGGUAGCUGGUCUGAGAGGAUGAUCAGCCACACUGGGACUGAGACACGGCCCAGACUCCUACGGGAGGCAG